rnacentral:rRNA from 1 species
UCAAAAGAGAUUCCUCGAGUAACGGCGAGUGAAAGGGGAGAAGCUCAGCGUGUAGCCUCGGGGAUGCCCUCCAAGUGAGUGUGUUAAUCCUACGAUGGGAUGCCACGUAUGGGAGAAUGCUAGAAGAGUCUGCGACCCGGCAAUCCGAACUGUUUGAUGAAACAUUGCCCAGAGAGGGUGUUAGGCCCGUAGGACCGUUGCGUCGUGACUUUUCGCGGCUUUCUCUCGAGAGUCGGGUUGUUUGAGAAUACAGCCUUAAGAGGUGGGAAACUCCAUCUAAAGCUAAAUAUUACUGCGAGACCGAUAGCGAACAAGUACCGUGAGGGAAAGUUGAAAAGGACUCUGAAGAGAGGGUUCAAGAGAGCGUGAAACUGCUACGGGGAUAAAGCGGAUACAUUAGCGUAGUCGAACAGGGAGAUACAGCUCGUUGGCCGUCGACCUCUCGGAUUCAGCGACGUUCAUAGGGAAUUACCCCGUUGUUGGUGCGUUCGCGCGUGCCUUUUCGGUUCUUGGUUCCUCUUGGCGUGGCCCGAGUAAGAGUACGUUCACGAACGAGUCUAUUUCACACCUUAGUAGGCCGUCGCGACGGUUGGAAAGUUGUCGAAGGCUCGAAAGGUCUUGGGAACCUUUCGUUGCGCGAUUCGCCGUUCGCGCGGUGUCUAGCGUCGACGAAGGGGGACGCUUUCUUGAAUUUACUGGCGGACUUUUCGACCGGAGAAAGAGACGUUGCGAUUCGCCCCUUUGGGGCGGGUGUGAACGUAAGUGCGGCGCUCGUAGCGACCAAUUUAUCCGUCCCGUCUUGAAACACGGACCAAGGAGUCUAACAUGUACGCGAGUCAAAGGGUCUACAAAACCCCUAGGCGUAAUGAAAGUAAACGCGGAUUGAUCCGUGCUCCCUUUCACGAGGGACCGGCGCAAAUCCGGGACCCGUCUUACUGCUCUCCGCUCGCGGGGAGUUCACGUGGCGGGUACCUAGAGCGUACACGUUGGUACCCGAAAGAUGGUGAUCUAUGCUUGGCCGGGAUGAAGCCAGAGGAAAC